AUAUAUCACAUUUCUGUCCUCUGCCCUGCAGGCUCUAAAAAGGGACUUCCGUGGCGUGGUGCGUUUCGGGGUGGUGACCAACAGACAGGUGGCAGAGGCCAUCUCACUUAAAGAAGAUGGAACCGUUUACCUCCACAGAAGAUUUAACUCCUCUUUGAGGCCUUCAUCAGGAACUUCAGCGCUCCGUACAGCCUCUUGCAGAGACACUUGGUGGGAGAGGAGGACAAGAAAGGAGGCGGAGGGGAAGCCAGACGUCCAGACCAACACCAGCCGUCACCUCCGCGCCCCCUCAUCACAGAACUGACCACUUUCUCCUUCCUGCCGUCCAUCAUGGACAUUCAAAGGGAUGUGCUGUUGUUCUACUACACUCAGUGGUGCGGCUUCUGCUCAGUUCUCAACCACAUCAUCAUCCAGUUGGCCAGAUUACUACAGGGAAACAGCACCAUCACUGUGGCGAGGGUGAAUGUUGCACGUAAUGACCUUCCAUGGGAGUUAGUUGUUUUGUUAAACUGAUCUAUUUUUACAGGAAUCCUUGAAUCACUAAAAUAUUAUUUCUAUGUAACUAUUCAGGUAUUAAGAAUGAGAUGCUGCAAUUGUUUACAUGUGAAAUAUUGCACCGGUUUUUACUGAUUAAAGAUCUUUCAUCUUAA